AAGAAAUAGGACAAAAUACAGCAACAGAAGGCUCAUAACUAACUUUCUGGAUCGAGAGCUUAAACGAACAGCAAAUAUGAAGCUGUGGGUACUCGCUUUGAUAUGUGUACUGGCGCAAGCUGUGCCUGCCGAGAAAACUUGUCCGCCUGUUUGUUUGAUUAUGUGCGUGUAUGGUAAUGAGCUAAAUGAAGAUGGCUGCCCAAUCUGCAAGUGCAAACCACGCCCGCCUGGGUGCCCUGUGGCAAGCUGCGCCAACUUGGGCUGCAAUACCUACAGAUACGCACUAGCUGGCAAUGGGUGCAGAGUCUGUGAAUGCGUUUCUUAACGAGUAACAGCCACU